AAACAGGAAAAACCUGGCAAGGGAGCCUCAGCCCUGUAUGCUUACUGCAUUAGGAACCAGGAGUAAAGGAAGGUUGGGCACGUCUGAGCCCGGAAAGUGGAAAGAGGAAGGAGUUAGUGGGAAUCAGUAUCUUUGUCCAUUGGUAACCACAUACAGUGACUGGUUGAUGUGGGUUAUAAACGCCUGGCUCACUUGGCUCAUUUGGAGCAACUCUGAAGAGCCAUCCAAGUUUAAAGCUCACCACGGGGUCUGCUGAAGCUUUUGCUCUGACUGCAUGAUGGCUCAACAUCACCUUUUGCCAGUCUUUCUGCUUUUACUCUCCAACAGGUGUUGAUCCUGAGAGCAUCCUUGAGAAUCCACCUCUGUGCAAACUUCAUGUCACAGUCUACUUCUCAGAGAAUGGGACCUAGGAAACCUCCUCCACAAAGUCCUCCCUCACCCAUUCCCAGUGGACCUGUUUCGGCUUUCUGACAAUACUGUUUGGGUCAGUUGAAUCCAGUCAUUUUGCAGUUUCUGAUGUCACCAACUUUGUUGAAGAUGAAGCAGGCUCAGAAGAGAGUCAGAUGGGCUUUGAAUUGUAACUAUGUCCAUCAUCGGUUACACAAACAUGGAAGAUUAUUUCAUCUCCCAGUUUCUUCAUCAGUAAAUUCAGAAUGAUAAUAUAUGGCUUGAAGAGUUGUUGAGAGGAUAACAUUUUAUAAUAUAGACAAAUUGCCUAAUCUAGAGCCACAUACCUUGAUUACUAAUAAAUGGGUCUUAGAACACUAAGAAUACUAGACACUCCUCUGAAUUACAGAAUAUUUUUGGUUCUUUGUGGAAGUAAAGAGGCAUAUAAUACAUUCCAGAGUAAGAUGUGUUGUUUGGAGGAAGUUUUAAAGAGUUUCAGCACCACAGACAGAUGCAAAAUUGCUAUUUACUUCUUUCUUGGGUAGAUAGAAGGAAAAGAACAUCAGAAUGGGCUGGUUUACCUUGUAACAAUGAUAUCAAGGUAAUGGAAAACCCCCUUCUUGAUGUCCCCACCUUCUGCAGGAGGACAGCUGGCAUCAGAGAGUGUUCAUGUUUUGUUUCCUUUGUUCUUUUAGUCUGAGAGCUGCACAUGGGCAAGGUUACUCCUUAAAGGGUGUUACCCUUGAAUAUGUCACAACGAACUUUUGUGUGCCUGAGCCUCUCCCCUCCAGCCACCCUAAAUUUACCCCAAUACAAAAUCACUAGAGAAAAGGAGCCCACUACUUAGUGAGGACCUAUUUUGUGUUUGGAAUUGCCCCAGAUGCUUUUCUACUGUUAAUUGAAUUCUCACCACGGUUUCCUGUUAGGUAUAAUUACUUGCAUUUUACAGAUGAAGAAACUGAAGAUCCCCAGCAUGUUCUGCAAGAGGCCAGAUGAUAAAUACUAUGG
rnacentral:lncRNA from 1 species